rnacentral:rRNA from 1 species
GUGGGGAAUUUUGGACAAUGGGCGAAAGCCUGAUCCAGCAAUGCCGCGUGCAGGAUGAAGGCCCUCGGGUUGUAAACUGCUUUUGUACGAAACGAAAAGCCUGGGGCUAAUAUCCCCGGGUCAUGACGGUACCGUAAGAAUAAGCACCGGCUAACUACGUGCCAGCAGCCGCGGUAAUACGUAGGGUGCAAGCGUUAAUCGGAAUUACUGGGCGUAAAGCGUGCGCAGGCGGUUUUGUAAGACAGUGGUGAAAUCCCCGGGCUCAACCUGGGAACUGCCAUUGUGACUGCAAGGCUAGAGUGCGGCAGAGGGGGAUGGAAUUCCGCGUGUAGCAGUGAAAUGCGUAGAUAUGCGGAGGAACACCGAUGGCGAAGGCAAUCCCCUGGGCCUGCACUGACGCUCAUGCACGAAAGCGUGGGGAGCAAACAGGAUUAGAUACCCUUGUAGUCC